AGAAACCAAAAUGGGCGCAUACGCCCAUCCCAACCACCAAUCUAUGGUCUUAUCCUUGAGUAUGAAAGGAGGAACAUUCACACAAACUGGGCACUUUCCACUGCUAUAACUAACAAUGGGGGAAGAGUGGAUUAUAAUGUGCUAGAUUGUAAUGUUGGUUCACACCCCAAAGACAUCUCUGCCAUAUGUAUUUAUUUACACACAGGCAUUCUGACAUCAAGGAUAUAUUUGGUGCUGCUACUGCCAUUACAGAAUUCUUAGGGAUUUCCUUGAAAACUCAGGUAGCUGGCAGCAUGGACAGAUUUUCUAAAGCAAAAUUUAGGGGAACCUUACAAAGAUCUUCAAGGUGGUCUUUGAUUUCUAAAGGAGAUAUUUGUGAAGAAAAGUUUAAAAUGUUCUGCCCGUUGUUUGUGGAACACCAGUCAAAGGAUUCAAUCAAAUCAAGCAUUUGUAGUUAUAUUGAUUGCACUGGGAGAGACCUAACACAUGAGUCACUAUCCCAUUAACAUAUGGGUAACCAAUGUGGAGAUCUCUAGAUGUUGCCAAACUGCAGUUCCCAUUAUCCUCUACCAUUGACCAUUCUGGGUGAGGCUAAUAAGAGAUGAAGUUCACAAAAUCUAGAGGGUACAACAUUGGCUACCCCUGCAUUAACACUAAGGUUCCUACUAUUGGCUGGGUUGUGACCAUUAAUUGUACAAAAUAAAGAAUUUUUAAUGUUAGUUAAUAAUCUGCAUACAUGGAUUUACCUUGGAUUUUCUCCCGUUCUUAUUCUUUUUGAUGUGCAGAAUGUAAUUUCAGUAUUUUGGGUUAUUUUGGCAUUAUAAAUUUCUCCCUUGGAGGUAUAGCCAUAGAAAUAUUAGUCAGAAAAGUAUCCUUUUAAGAAAUGCUUUUUUCCUCUCUCUCUCUGCCCAUUUCUUUUUUUAAAAAAAAAAAUUAACUAUAUAUUUAAGGUGUGGUUGUGCCAUAUUCCUGUGAUCUUCCCUCAGAGAACAUUUUUUGAAUCACACAAAUAUUUUGUAAUAAAAAUAUUUUUAUGGCUGUGUCCUGAUCUCAACCACUCUACUGCCAUAAUCCUAAUUUACUUAAAUGAAGAAUGUCUGCUUGUAGAGUCAAUGAACUAGGGCUUUUUUUCCCCACGAGGGGAAAAGUAAAAAGCUAUCAUAUUAAACCUGCAAAACCUUUUAUUCAAGUUCUUUCAGGUGUCUUUAUAUUGGCAAUGAUUGUCUCCUGUUAAAUUGGUUCUUAUUACAGUGGUACCUUGGGUUACAAACACUUCGGGUUACAGACUCCACUAACCCGGAAGUAGUACCUCAGGUUAAGAACUUUACCUCAGGAUGAGAACAGAAAUCACGCGGCAGCGGGAGGCCCCAUUAGCUAAAGUGCUACCUCAGGUUAAGAAAUGUUUCAGGUUAAGAACAGGCCUCUGGAACGAAUUAAGUUUGUAACCAGAGGUACCACUGUUAUUGUUUCCAUCACUGAAAUGUCUCUUUCCGCACUUCUCUCAGCUAUCGUAUCGUUUUAGAGGAACUGCAGAUUUGGAAGUGGGACACUGGAUCACCUUAUAUGAACCACAAUGUAUCCCAUACUGAAGUAUGACUCUUCAAUUGAUGGGAGGUGCAAAGUCAGGUAAAAUGCAUCAAUGGUUCCACUGUAAAUUUCUCUUUUAAAAAACUUAAAUUAAGGGGCAAACAGGUAAAGGAGAAUAAUAUAUACAGUGAAAAAAUAAAAUAGAAGUGGGUUCCUCAUUUCAGGAUGGUCUCCAGAUCCUCUAACGAAAGUUCUUGGAGAAAUAAAAACAACAUUAAAAAAAACAAUAAAAAUGAUAAUAAUUAAAAACAAUGGAUUAAAGACUAUUGAUCUAAACAAUCACUAACACAUUUUUGUAAGAUUGGUUGAUUAAUCAUAUGUGCAAAGGCUAAAUAAUGAAGUAUUCAAAUUUCAUAAAAAUGUUAUUAUAAUGGGCUGGUUAGUCAUGCUUUGGUCCCAUUCUAUAAUUGUUUAUGUAAAAUGUGGAAACACUGAGUCAGCCACGUAAUGAAUGCUUGAAUUGUAUUUCCUAUAAUUUAAAUUUUGCACAUUAAAAAACAGCAACUGAGAUAGAUUCACACUGCUCCUUAUUUAACUGCAAUGGGUUAUCCCCCACCCCCAACAUCAUCACUACCUGGAAAUAAAAUAAUUUAAGAAGGAAAAUAAUAUUAAUCUGACAGUGCGUCUAUUUAUAUCUAAGAUCAAACUUUGAUGAAGUACAUUUUUCAUGGUGCAUCAGCAAAGUGUAUGAUGCAGGAAAAACUGUACCCAUUGUAUUAUCUUCAGGUCCAUCAAUUUUUAUCAAGUUUAUGCUGUAUGAAGACUUUUAAUGGAAAUCAGCAACUGUAGCCAUCUAGUGCAUGUUGUUAUAUAAUGAACUGGAGUAAGACCCCAGGAAGACUUAAUUACUUGCACUGGGAACAGCCUUAAGCUCAUUAUGUAAGGUGUUGUAACUGCACGCAGAUUAAAACACGAUAGUCUCUGCCCACAGCCUCACAAUCUGGAAGAUAUGGCACAAAAAGAAAAAGGAAUGGGGAGGAAGAGAAAAUAUAUAAUCAGUUCUAAACAAAAAACACUACAGAUCUUAAAAUGACCAGCUGGAAUAGAGGCAGUCCAAGGAAGGGGAGAGCCAGAUGACAGAUGGCUUCUCAACUGAACUAAUGAAGUUGGCCUUGCAGCCCCCUCUUUCCAUCCUGGGCAUUCAGGCUCAAUUUUCUCCCACAAGAGAAAGCGAUGUCCACCAACUUGGACGGCUUUAAAAGAGGAUUGGAUGAAUUCAUGGAAGAGAAGACUAACCAUGUUUACUAGCCUCAAGGGCUACGAUCUACCUCCACUGUUGGAGGCAGUAUGCCUCUAAAUAUGAGCUGCUGGGAAUCAGUCUACCUUCCUGCUGGAGCGGUACCUAUUUAUCUACUUGCACUUUGUGCUUUCAAACUGCUAGGUUGGGAGGAGCAGGGACCAAGCAAUGGGAGCUCACCCUGUUGCAGGGAUUUGAACUGCCAACCUUCUGACCGGCAAGCCCUAGGCUCUGUGGUUUAACCCACAGCGCCACCCACAUCCACUGAAAAGUUUACAGGAUUCAAUAUUAUUUUUUUACACACUGUUCCUGCCUGCACAUUUUCACUGCAUUUUCUGUGUGCUAAAACUACUAAAAAACUGCAAGAGCACAGCUUCCUGAGGCAGGCAUCCUAUACACACUUACCUGGGAGUAAGUUCCAUUGAACUCAGUGGGUCUUACUUCCGAGCAGAAAUCUACAAGAUUGUGCUCUAAAGCUUACAAAAACUAUUUCCCCAAUAGACUUCAUGAAAAGAUUUUUUAAAAAAAUGAACCUGAAAUGUUUGUUCAGUUACUUGAAUUGCCAUUUCUGUACAACAGUUUGGAAAAAGGGACUGGAAAAAUACUCUCACAGAUGUGGAAUUUUUUAUUUAUUUAAACUAACAC